rnacentral:misc_RNA from 1 species
GAUGAAGAACGCAGCAAAAUGCGAUAAGUAAUGUGAAUUGCAGAAUUCAGUGAAUCAUCGAAUCUUUGAACGCACAUUGCGCCCGCUGGUAUUCCGGCGGGCAUGCCUGUUCGAGCGUCAUUUCAACCCUCAAGCCCCCGGGUUUGGUGUUGGGGAUCGGCUCUGCCUUCUGGUGGUGCCGCCCCCGAAAUACAUUGGCGGUCUCGCUGCAGCCUCCAUUGCGUAGUAGCUAACACCUCGCAACUGGAACGCGGCGCGGCCAUGCCGUAAAACCCCAACUUCUGAAUGUUGACCUCGGAUCAGGUAGGAAUACCCGCUGAACUUAAGCAUAUCAAUAAGCGGAGGA